rnacentral:rRNA from 1 species
CCUACGGGUGGCAGCAGUGAGGAAUAUUGGUCAAUGGACGAGAGUCUGAACCAGCCAAGUAGCGUGAAGGAUGACUGCCCUAUGGGUUGUAAACUUCUUUUAUAUGGGAAUAAAACGUUCCACGUGUGGGAUUUUGUAUGUACCAUAUGAAUAAGGAUCGGCUAACUCCGUGCCAGCAGCCGCGGUAAUACGGAGGAUCCGAGCGUUAUCCGGCUUUAUUGGGUUUAAAGGGAGCGUAGGUGGAUUGUUAAGUCAGUUGUGAAAGUUUGCGGCUCAACCGUAAAAUUGCAGUUGAAACUGGCAGUCUUGAGUACAGUAGAGGUAGGCGGAAUUCGUGGUGUAGCGGUGAAAUGCUUAGAUAUCACGAAGAACUCCGAUUGCGAAGGCAGUUCACUGGACUGCAACUGACACUGAGGCUCGAAAGUGUGGGUAUCAAACAGGAUUAGAUACCCUUGUAGUC